UAAACUUAAUCUUUUAAAUUAAAUGUUUUAUCAUGUUCCAUGCAUCAUGAUUAUGCAAUAGGAUGAUUGCAUUAGUUUCACGAAUAUGCCGCAUUGCAUCAUUUGUUGUUGAUGUGGGUGAAUGUUGGAUGACCCAAUUAGUCCAUGACAGGAAGACCAGGACCCCAUUCUACGGCCUGGCACGGAAAUGAAAGACCAGGACCCCAUUCUACGGCCUGGCACGAUUGUGGGACUUGAAGACCAGGAGCCCAGAGGAGGCCCUGGGAUAAUGGUAAGUAAUGUAUGUAUGACAGGAAGACCAG
rnacentral:lncRNA from 1 species